UAUGAAAUAAGAAAUCCUAUGAAGAAAUAUUAAAAUAAAUAAGAAAUUCUGCUGCAGGUAGAAUAAAGUAGUAUUAUUAUUAUUAUUAUUAUUCAUAAUUAAAAAAUAAUAAGAAAUAUUCAAGUACCAAAAAUAAAAGGGAAAAAGGCCGUUUUAUGAAAAUAAAAAAAAAGAAUAUAACAAGUCUACAGUGAAUACGCCAAUCUUCC
rnacentral:lncRNA from 1 species